GCUUUUCCCAGGAGGAAACUGGCAGGACAUUUUUGUCCCUGGAGAAGAGGAACAGAGUUCUUGUUUUAGAUUGGCUCUCUCCUUUUCCUCCUCCCAAGGAUGGGGAUGUCUGCUGAGGAGUAUGGCCUAGAUCCCGGAAUUCUCCAGUUCAGCCAGAGGAGAUGCCUCCCAAGAUUAGGAAGGAGGGUGUUGGAAUAGCUGGAAGGAUGCUGGUGCAUGGGGGUAGGAGGGGACAGGGAAGCAAUCAUGACCAGGAAACCAAGACAAAAGAGGUAGGUUGGAGAGGCAGAGGGUCCCCUGGGUGCGAGAAGAGAGGAAGAAAACAAGAGGGUCCUGAUUGAAUGGGCCUAAAGACAGGUUACAAAAGAGAGGGAGACACUGUCCCUGGACAGAAAGGGGAACAGUGCCAAGCUAGCUCCUUGUCCUGGGUGACA